UUAAGUUCAGCGGGUAGUCCUACCUGAUUUGAGGUCAGACGACAUGAAAUUGUCCGAAGACGAUUAGAAGCAUCCUUACACGCGAGACGCGGAACGGCGCCAGAAGUAGACUUAUCACACCGUUGUGACCGAUCUCGCGACGGAACGCUAAUGUAUUUCAAGAGAGCCGACCUCUUAAUAAAGGCCCGCAAACCCCCAUA
rnacentral:misc_RNA from 1 species